CAUGCAAGUCGAGGGGCAGCAUGAUUUGUAGCAAUACAGAUUGAUGGCGACCGGCGCACGGGUGAGUAACGCGUAUGCAACUUACCUAUCAGAGGGGGAUAGCCCGGCGAAAGUCGGAUUAAUACCCCAUAAAACAGGGGUCCCGCAUGGGAAUAUUUGUUAAAGAUUCAUCGCUGAUAGAUAGGCAUGCGUUCCAUUAGGCAGUUGGCGGGGUAACGGCCCACCAAACCGACGAUGGAUAGGGGUUCUGAGAGGAAGGUCCCCCACAUUGGUACUGAGACACGGACCAAACUCCUACGGGAGGCAGCAGUGAGGAAUAUUGGUCAAUGGCCGAGAGGCUGAACCAGCCAAGUCGCGUGAAGGAAGAAGGAUCUAUGGUUUGUAAACUUCUUUUAUAGGGGAAUAAAGUGGAGGACGUGUCCUUUUUUGUAUGUACCCUAUGAAUAAGCAUCGGCUAACUCCGUGCCAGCAGCCGCGGUAAUACGGAGGAUGCGAGCGUUAUCCGGAUUUAUU
rnacentral:rRNA from 1 species